UACGGAGGGUGCAAGCGUUGUUCGGAAUUACUGGGCGUAAAGGGCUCGUAGGCGGCCAACUAAGUCGGAUGUGAAAUCCCCAGGCUUAACCUGGGAACUGCAUCCGAUACUGGAUGGCUUGAAUCCGGGAGAGGGAUGCGGAAUUCCAGGUGUAGCGGUGAAUGCGUAGAUAUGCGGAGGAACACCGAUGGCGAAGGCAAUCCCCUGGGCCUGCACUGACGCUCAUGCACGAAAGCGUGGGGAGCAAACAGG
rnacentral:rRNA from 1 species